rnacentral:lncRNA from 1 species
AGUACAGUGUUCUGCCCUGACACAGCCAAGGCCAAGGGCAGUGUAGGCACAGCCACCGUGACUCUCUGCUGGGAGGUUAACAGCUCCAUCAGUUCAGGGACUGCCUGACCCAGCCUGACCAAAUUAGAGCAAGAGAAAGAAUUGUGCCAUGAAAAAUGGAAAACUCCUGAGAAGCUGUUCCAGCGUCAGGAGAGCAGCAGACAAGCUGGACUGGGGAAGAUUCUUCUGCAAGACCUGCAGAGUGUAUGACACAUAACCAGCACCCAAGAAAUGUCUACCGAGGAAUUAAUGAAUGAGGGUCCCAUACUUCCUAGCCAUGCUGUUGGCAGGGAUUAACAUCGUUGCAAUUCUCUGGGUAGACCUUGGGAGGUUUAAACCAACCAGUGACCCCUAUCAUCCUAGCUCCAGAGAUUGGCUUAGGGAUAGUCACCCAAUGCAGGCCAAUGCAAGGUGACUUUGCCAGGGGCUUCUGGGAAAGAAGUUUCCUUUCUCUGAGGAAACGUGAAUGAGGACAUCCAUAACUCAGGUUGUGUCUGGCAGCCAUCUUGUGAUCAUCUGGCAAGACAGCCCAAGAAUAAAGCCGUCACCAUGGAGACUAAGAAGAGACAGAAAGACACUGGGUCUUCAUUGUCUCGUCCAGCUGUUCAUGAGGCCUUAUCUGAAGCCCACGUGACCUCUGGACUUCUCACUUACAUGAGAGAAUAAAGCUCUUUUUUGUUUAGACCAAAUAAAUACAUAAUACAAUUACAUAAUCCCUUGAUUCCUUUUUAUGACUGAGCUCAGAGACUAUAUUUUGUCAUUUUAAAUCACCUUUGUCUUACAGUUUAUUUAACUGAAACAAAUAAACAAACCAAAACACGCCAGUUUUUCACUCCUCUGUCAAAGCCUUUCCAAGAUCACUAAGCUUGUGAUGUCCUGGGUGAAUGAAGAAGUAACAGUGUUUUCAACAACAUAGAAGCUUAUUUCUCUCUCAUAUAAAAGAAGGCUGGAGUCUGGCUGGUAUGGGAGAUACAGCGUCAUCAAAGUUUUAUCUUUUCGUCCUGCCGUCCUUAGAAUAUGGCUUUCAUCUUCAAGAUCACUUCCUAAGCUAUGAGGAUGCAAAGGUAUAAGAAUGACACAGUGGACUUUGGGGACUCGGUGUGGGGAGAAGUUGGGAGGGGUGAGGGAUAAGAGACUACAUAUUGGGUACAGUGUACACUGCUCUAAAAUCUCAGAAAUCACCACUAAAGAACCUAUCCAUGGAAUCAAAAACCACCUAUACCCCCAAAACCACUGAAAUAAAACUAAAAAUUAAUUAAAAAAAAAAAACAGAUAA